GCAUGUAAUGACUUGAGGGAUGUAGUGGCUCAUUUUUGCACCAGAAGAGUUGGUUCAAUCUGCACAUUCGACGACGGUGUAUUUGUAACGUUACAAGGUUGACUAAUUUUACAUGGCUGCCGCGAUUUUCUUUAUUAUUAUACAAUAAUAAGUGAACGAAGGAAAAUUCUCCAAGAAAAGGGCAGUUUAAUAAUGGAUAUCUUGUUCCACUAGCUGAAUAUACGUCAAAGAAAGGGAAAGAUGGCCCAAGAACAGUACCUGCAUGUUAUGCAUGUCUGGAUUGACGUGAUAUUUACCCCUCUUGUCCCCGGUUUUUUUUAUUACUUGAUUUAAAAUGUAAUUUUAUAUGUUUUUUUUAUUUUUUGUAUUAAUUUUUAAGUAUUACUACAUUUUAAUUUAGGAAAAAAAUUAAAAUAAAAUAAAAUUAUAUUUUAUAAAAAUAUUAAAAUGACUCUUUACAGGAUACCGCUGUCGGACGACCAAUUUCAAUAAAUGCAUUCUGUGGAGAGAAUGAAUCUAGAGACUGUAUAUUUACCGUUUCAGUGUCCAAAUCCUUUUGGGAGGAAAUGGAUGCAACUGCAGUUGUCUCUGGUUCUGCCACCCUUUGCUUCUUAUGAGACAGAAGGUUGACUAAUUUUACAUGGCUGCCGCGAUUUUCUUUAUUAUUAUACAAUAAUAAGUGAACGAAGGAAAAUUCUCCAAGAAAAGGGCAGUUUAAUAAUGGAUAUCUUGUUCCACUAGCUGAAUAUACGUCAAAGAAAGGGAAAGAUGGCCCAAGAACAGUACCUGCAUGUUAUGCAUGUCUGGAUUGACGUGAUAUUUACCCCUCUUGUCCCCGGU
rnacentral:lncRNA from 1 species